rnacentral:tRNA from 1 species
UGGGUAGCUCAGUGGUAAAGCGUCUGUCUGAAAAACAGAAGAUCGGCGGUUCGAUUCCGCCCCC